rnacentral:rRNA from 1 species
GACGAACGCUGGCGGCGUGCUUAACACAUGCAAGUCGAGCGGUAAGGCCCUUCGGGGUACACGAGCGGCGAACGGGUGAGUAACACGUGGGUGACCUGCCCUCCACUCUGGGAUAAGCCCGGGAAACUGGGUCUAAUACCGGAUAGGACCUCUGGAUGCAUGUCUGGUGGUGGAAAGUUUUUCGGUGGGGGAUGGGCCCGCGGUCUAUCAGCUUGUUGGUGGGGUGAUGGCCUACCAAGGCGACGACGGAUAGCCGGCCUGAGAGGGUGAUCGGCCACACUGGGACUGAGACACGGCCCAGACUCCUACGGGAGGCAGCAGUGGGGAAUCUUGCGCAAUGGGCGGAAGCCUGACGCAGCAACGCCGCGUGGGGGAUGACGGCCUUCGGGUUGUAAACCCCUUUCGCGAUCGACGAAGCCGCACUUUUUGGGUGUGGUGACGGUAGGUCGAGAAGAAGCACCGGCCAACUACGUGCCAGCAGCCGCCGUAACAC